UAGGGAAUCUUCGGCAAUGGGGGGAACCCUGACCGAGCAACGCCGCGUGAGUGAAGAAGGUUUUCGGAUCGUAAAGCUCUUUUGUUAAGGAAGAACGAGUGUGAGAAUGGAAAGUUCAUGCUGUGACGGUACUUAACCAGAAAGGGACGGCUAACUACGUGCCAGCAGCCGCGGUAAUACGUAGGUCCCGAGCGUUGUCCGGAUUUAUUGGGCGUAAAGCGAGCGCAGGCGGUUAGAAAAGUCUGAAGUGAAAGGCAGUGGCUCAACCAUUGUAGGCUUUGGAAACUGUUGAACUUGAGUGCAGAAGGGGAGAGUGGAAUUCCAUGUGUAGCGGUGAAAUGCGUAGAUAUAUGGAGGAACACCGGUGGCGAAAGCGGCUCUCUGGUCUGUAACUGACGCUGAGGCUCGAAAGCGUGGGGAGCGAACAGG
rnacentral:rRNA from 1 species